AGAGUUCCCUUUCCUCUGUAUAAAAACCUUUAUGGACUUUUCUUGACAUUUAAGAAUAUUGAAGCAAAGAAUGAAGGUCAAUACAAUGGCAUCCAUGACACUUGCUUUAACAGUGCUUGUUGCAGUAUUCUGUGCUACCGUGGCACUGAAGUGUCACAAAUGUACUACCAUCAAUCCAGACCAUCCAACCUGUACCCAGACUGACAUAACCGAGGUGGAGUGUGGUGUCAGUUUCACCCACUGUGCAAGAAUUGUUUUCCACAAACCAGCCUAUGGUGAGGUGAGAAAAUGUGCUACUGAAAAUGAAUGUAAUGUCAAGUCGCAAAGAAGUGUGGUGACGGAAUGCUGCACAACUGAUCUCUGCAACUGACCCAAGCUGGGAGAACCUGACUCACACCUGCAAAUGGAGUAAUAUCAGCAAGGAACAAUUUUGUAAUUGAAUCAACAUACUGAAAACAAUUCUGUUUUCAAUUAAUAGCUAAAAAUGAUUACGUUAUCACAUUUUGUACCUUCCCCUGUAGUCAAAUGAAAAAAAAUGUAUGUCAUUUCUCCAAUUUCUGAAAUGCUGUUAAAAUAUUAUUUUCAUAUCA